UCAUGGGCGAGUAGGAUCGACGUCUUCGACGCGCUCGCUCGCGCUCCCGCUGCCGCGAGUCCUUCUCGCUGUACUUGGGGUCCCGCUCCCUGAAGGGUGGCGGGGGUCGAGGAUGGAGGACUAGGUGGAGGACCAGGUUACCAAGGAAGUGAACCCUAUUUGCCCAGAGCAUCCAAGCUGUAUAUGCUACCCAUCUCUUGGUGGCCAUCUCACCAUCAGAUCCACUAUCCUGGUACUACAGAGGCUGUGUUCAAGGAAUCCCCAAGUCUACUUCAUAAAGACCCAUGAGUGAGAGAGGGGUGAUGUUGGCAUUUUGGUAUAUGCCAAAGAGAAGCUGUAAAGUGCUUCCGAUAAGUGAGAAGAUGCAUGUUCUUGACUUAAUAAGCAAAGGAAAAAAAAUCAGAUGCUGAGCCAAAGGUCUUGCCACCUUUUGGGGAAUGGAGUGGUCUUGAAAUAACCAAGUCAGUCACUGGUGUCCUGGUUACCCAGUUCCAGAAGAGGAAUAAUUGGCUUUCUGCUGGCUCCCAGAACCCGAGGGAAGCUGCACCCCAUGAAGCCAUGGGUUGGUGAGAUGGGAUGGAAUCUUCUAGUUCUUGAGAUCUCAUGCUGGUACAUUCUGUUACAUUAUUAUCCCACAUGAGAUAAUCAAGCAGUUACCAAUGGUUAUUGAAAUUGGGAGGUAGAAUGCGAAACAGCCAUGCUAUUUUUCUGUCUGUAUCCUAAUCACCAUGGUGUGACUUUACACCUCUGCAUGCUAGGAGGAACAUCCAUGCACUGGACUGGUCUUAGGACUUGCUCUGGCCAAUAGAAUAGCAGAAGGGGUGUCAUGUCUCUUUUUAGCCUAGGACUCAAGAAGCCUUGUACACCUUUGCUCUUUCUCACAGAGCCUUCCAUCACCAUGUGAACAGGCAGGCAGGCAGGCCUGCUGGUGGUCAAGAGGCAACAUAGAGUAGGGACAGUUAUUAUGGGGCUAUCCCCCAAUUCAGCCAGCCUUCGGCCAACCCACCAGGUAACCAAAGAAAUGCAAUAGGGCCCAGGGAGAGCAAAAGAACCAGCUUGCUGAGCCCAGCCCCAGGGGCUGAUCCAUAGAACCAGGAACUGAGUAUACAUUUGAGGAUGCUAAGUAUAGCAUUUUAAGGAUGCUAAGUUCAGGGAUAAUUUUUUAUGCAGCAGAAGCUAACUGAUACACAUUAGCUCAUCCUCAUGCCAGUUGCAACAAUGACAGCUCAUAUUCCAUUAUAUUCUGGUACAUUCUGAGAGCUUGAUAGUUCUCAGAACAGUCCAUUCUUUCAUUUUGCAGAUGAGAAAACGGAGACUCAGCUGGUGAUGGGUAGGCUGGUAUCUGAACUCAACUGUUUCCUAUUCCCCGGGGGUCAAAGGAAAUUUCUAGUUAUCUUCACUCACCGCCAAGGAGGAAAGUGUGGCAGAGCGAAGGUCAAACCUCACUCACCUUUUUUCAGAGGAGGUGGAUCGGCUCCGGGUGUACCUGGGGGAGGCCCUGGGGUUUGGGGACCGGGAAGAGAGACUGGAGGACCGGGUGCUGGCGUAGGAGGAGCUACGGGAGCACUCCUUCAUGGGGGAGCUGCGGGCUGUGGAGGGGACCAAGCUGGACUUCUUCACCUCCACACAUUCCAGACAGGGCGACUGAAAUCCUCUGUGGAGGAAAAACGUCUUUGGUCACACCGCUGCCUGCCCCCAGGGCAUCUUGAUCCAUGGCCCCACCCCUAGCUUUGCCUGGCCUGGUGGGGGGGGAGGUUCUCUUAGAACCUUCUUUACCUUCUCCCCUCCUGAAAAGACUUGCCAGGUGACAGAUGUUCGAGGAGCAGAGAUAGAAGGUGUGGAGCACAUAUCACUGCGGCCACUUGGGCAUAUGCUAGUAUCCUGGGAGGUCACCCAGCUUGGGCACCGGUGCUAAGUGACAUCAAAUCACAUGGUGAGAGGUUUAUUUUCCUCCUUAUCUUUGUCAGUCCCUCUGAUUAUGUGGAUGAGAAAGACCAGGCUAGGUGCGAGUGGGUUUUUAACACCUCUCCAACACUUUGUGAUCUCCCCAAGAGAGAGCAGCAGGCAUCACUCGGGCUCAGAGCCUGGGGCAGGCGACUGUAACUCACUGGGAUUAAAUACAUUGUUCCAAUCACCUUCAACUAGAAUUAAAUACAGGGUUUCAA